rnacentral:rRNA from 1 species
UCGAACGGACCCCAGCAAUGGGGUUAGUGGCGGACGGGUGAGUAACACGUGAGCAACCUGCCCUAUGCAACGGGAUAACACUGAGAAAUUAGUGCUAAUACGGUAUAAGACCACGCGAAGGCAUCUUCGAGGGGUAAAAGCUUUAGCGGCAUAGGAGGGGCUCGCGGCCCAUUAGAUAGUUGGUGAGGUAACGGCCCACCAAGUCGACGAUGGGUAGCCGACCUGAGAGGGUGAUCGGCCACAUUGGAACUGAGAUACGGUCCAAACUCCUACGGGAGGCAGCAGUGGGGAAUAUUGGGCAAUGGAGGCAACUCUGACCCAGCAACGCCGCGUGAAUGAAGAAGGCCUUCGGGUUGUAAAGUUCUUUAAUGGGGGACGAAGAAAGUGACGGUACCCCAAGAAUAAGCCACGGCUAACUACGUGCCAGCAGCCGCGGUAAUACGUAGGUGGCAAGCGUUGUCCGGAAUGACUGGGCGUAAAGGGAGCGUAGGCGGCGCGGUAAGUUAGGAGUGAAAUCCCGGGGCUCAACCCCGGAACUGCUUUUAAAACUGCCGUGCUUGAGUGAUGGAGAGGAAAGCGGAAUUCCUAGUGUAGCGGUGGAAUGCGUAGAUAUUAGGAGGAACACCAGAGGCGAAGGCGGCUUUCUGGA